UUCCAUUUCAGACUGAAGAUGGUUCAGGUCGGCAUCCAGCUUCUUCUUUGUAUUGAUGAGACUUGUGUUCUGCAGGAAAAGACAAUUUUUGAAAACGUUGUGUGGAAUACCCAAUGUUAAUAUCAAACCACAAUGCAGUUUCAGCACUCUUCAGAAGAGGUUUGAUCUUGAAGUACAGUUGCAUCCAUGGCCAGUGUUUGACAUUUGUGAAUGCACGGAUGUUGUACUGCAGAGUAUACAGUGCUUCCCUAAAGGCAAAGUGAAAUGAACAGGAGAGAGAGAAUACGGGGAAAAGGGAGUAAACUUCAAUAUUUAAUCACAUGGUCAUGGAAAUCCUAGUCAACAAGAGGGAGGCCCUGUGAAGCAGGACCAGGACAAUUCCAGGCGCAACAGGAUUCUGGUAGAAAGUGGUUACUUCUGCCCUGUUCCUCACAGGAACUGGCUUUCUCUCUGAAUAGAGGAAGGAGAGAGCAUUGCUGCCCCCUACUGCUAUUAUUUUAACGGUACAAGAGCACAUAUGGCAGUUUGUCAAAAAAUAUUACCGGUGGCAGGAAAUGGGGAAUUUGACCCUUUAUUCCUGCUCCACUAUUCAAUAUAGUUAAAAGGAAACAAGCUAACACAUUUGUUCUUAAAUCUGAGCUUGUUCUACCUAUGAGCAUUCAGAUCUUCUGCUUUGCUUAAUAUUCAUUCAUAUAUGAUGAAGAGUGUAGUUUAUUAAUGGGGCAAUUAAUCUUUCACCUCCAGGUGCACACAUUGUGUGGCUUUAUCAAGUAUAUAAGUGAUUUACUGGACCAGUGGAGAACUUCAUAAAUUAAGUAAGAGGCUUUUCAAUGUUGCUCUGAAAAGAAGCAGAGCCCUUGGCCUAGAUCUUUUGUCAUGUAGUCUGUGAACCCAGGGCACCACAGUAGCACAGCAAUUAGCAUGAGACACUAUAACAGCUCGGGGCACUCUGGAGUUCAGAGUUCAAUUCCAACAGCAUCUGUAAGGAGUCUGCACGUCCUCCCUGUGGAAUGCAUAUGUUUUCCCUGGGUGCUCUGGUUUCCUCCCACAGUUCAAAGACAUAUCAGUAGGUUAAUUGAUCAUUGUAAAAUUGCCACAUGAUUAGGUUAGGGUUAACUGGGCUUGUUGGGGGUUGCUAGGGUGGUGUGGCUUAAAGCUGGAAGGGUUCUGUUUCGAAAGGAACCCUACUCCUCAGUGUAUCGUAAAAUAAAAUAAAUCCAGGAACACUUUUGUUCUCUUUUCUUGCUAUUUACGUUUUAUAUAUUAUUGUAAUUUAUAGUAGUUUUUAUUAUUGUACUGUACUGCGGCUAUUGCAAAACUACAAAUUUCAGGACAUAUGUCAGUGACAAUGAACCUGAUUCUGAUUAUAAUUACCCUAUUCUGUCUGUGUGAAGUUGCUUGUACUCCUUGUAACCUUGUGGGUCUUGGAGAAUGGAGUUGAUCAGCCAUAAUCAAGUGGUGGAGCAGACCCAAUGGGCUGAAUGGCCUAAAUCUGCUGCUAUGCCUUGUGGUCUUUUGAAGAUUAACGCAGUUGCAAAUGUAGUUGCCAGGUAGUUGCUCUGUGGAUUGAGCAUGUCUGGGCAUUUCAUACCUGCUCAGCACUUAAGCACAGAUUUCUGUUUAUCAUAAUGGCAUAUAAUUCACAUGUCCUGUACCUCACAGGUGUAAAAUGCAAAUGACAGCAGCCACUCAAUUCAAAAGGCAGGUGAGACAGGACACUCUGCAUGUAGCCCACCAGUACAAGUGGUUAUGAAGCCCAGAAAGCACUUUUACUGAUGUGUAAUAUUUUUACCUAUCCUUUUUUCUUAUGUCCUCAUUGAUGGAGAUGUCAUUUGGGUCUCCUACCACUCUAUCCUGAUCCAAUUUCUUUCCUCACUAACUCUAGUCAAUUGUAACUUAUUAUCCCAUUCCUAGCUGAAUAUGUUCUUUCCUCACCUCAGUAUACUGAUUCAAUCCUCUAUUUUGCAGCUCCUAAC